GGAAAAUGAUGAUUAACAAUUGGUCCGUGUUUCUGAUAUCUUGUGAUGAUUUCCAAUGAAACACUCAAUUCACUGAUUCU